AUGUCAACACUAAAAUAUGAAGUCGGACCUGCCCAGUGAGUUUUAAACGGCCGCGGUACUCUGACCGUGCAAAGGUAGCAUAAUCAUUUGCCUUAUAAUUGAAGGCUGGAAUGAAUGGUUUGACAAGAAUACAGCUGUCUCUUCUAGAUUAUUUAGAAUUUUAUUUUUGGAUGAAAAAGUCCAGAUAUUAUUAAAAGACAAGAAGACCCUAUCGAGCUUUAGAAGAAUUAAUAGACUUAAGAAUAAAUCAAUAUAAGUAAAAGAUAGACUAUUAUAAUACUUUGGUUGGGGCAACCGAGGAGUAAAUAGAGCCUCCUUUAAGCUAUAAAACCUGCUUGUCUUGAUCCAAGGAUUUUGAUCAAAGGAAUUAGUUACCGUAGGGAUAACAGCAUUAUCUUUUUUAAGAGCCCAUAUCGAAAAAAAGGUUUGUGACCUCGAUGUUGGACCAGAAUAUCCUAAAGAUGCAGAAGUCUUUAAGGGUUGGUCUGUUCGACCAUUAAAAUUCUA
rnacentral:rRNA from 1 species